rnacentral:rRNA from 1 species
AAACCAUUUUUAAUAAAUUUAAAUUAAUACAUUUAUUAAAUUUUAACCAAAUUAAAACUAAUUGAUCUAAUUUAAUUUAAAAACUGAAAAGGAUAUUUAGUUUUUAUUUAAAAGUAAGUAUUUGUACCUUUAGCAUAAGGGGUUUUUAAAAAUAAAUAAAAAUUUAUUUUUUUCGAAAUCAACUGAUCUAUUUUAAUUAUAUAUUAAUAUGUUGCAAAAUAUUAAUAAAAAAUUAAAUAGAAGUGAAAUUCUUUUCAAAGUUGAAGAUAUCUAAUUUUAUUAAAAAACUAAAAGUUUACUUAUAAAAAUUAUUAUUUAUAAAUUUUAUAAGUAAAUAUUUAAGGGAUAAGCUUUAAAUAUAUUUAUGUAAAUAAACUAUUUUUUUAAGAAGAAAUAAAAUUUUUCUAUUAUUGUUACAAGUAAUUAAUUUUAUAAUGAUAAAAAAUAAAUUUUUAUUAAAUUCUAAAUAAUAACUUUUAAAUUUAAAUAUGAAAAUAUUAGUAAAAUAAGUUUUAUUAAAAAUCUAUUUAAUUUUAUUUUAAAUUUUUAAAUAAAUUUAAAUAACUAGGCAAAAAAUUUUUUUGACUGUUUAAUAAAAACAAUGUAUUUAGUUUUUAAUAAUUAAAUAUCAAUCCUGCUCAAUGAAUAUUAAAUUGCUGUAGUAUUUUGACUAUACAAAGGUAUUGUAAUAAGACUUUAAUUGAGUGCUAAGAGAAUGGAUUAUCAAAAAAAAUCUUUUUUAAAUUUAAUAUUUAAAUUUAUUUUUAUUUGUGAAGAAACAAUAAUAAAAAUUAAGGACAAGAAGACCCUAUGAAUUUUUAUAACUUUAAAUUAAAAUAUUUUAAUUUAAAGUUAUUUAAUUGGGGCGAUCAAGAAAUAUAAUAAACUUUUUUAUAGAAAACUGAUCCAUUAAUAAUGAUUAUAUGAAAUAAAUACUCUAGGGAUAACAGCGUAAUAAUUUUAGAUAGAUCUUAUAGAAAAAAUAGUUUGCGACCUCGAUGUUGGAUUAGGAUACUUUUUUAAUGAAGAAGUUAAAAAAAGAAGUUUGUUCAACUUUUAAAAUCCUACAUGAUCUGAGUUUAGACCGAUGUGAAUCAGGUUGGUUUCUAUCUUAAUUUAAAAAAAUUUUUAAUUAGUACGAAAGGAAUUUUAAAAAAAAAUGAUUUUAUUAAACUCAACAGUUUUUGCAUCAAUUUUUGGAAUU